GAAAGAACCAACCCUGCCAGCACCUUGAUCUGGGACUUCUAGCCUUCAGAAAUGUGAGAAAACAAAUGUGUGUUGUUGAAGCCAAACCACCUGCGGUACCUUGUUAUGGCAGCCCUAGCAAACUGAUACAUAGGAACAACUAUUUCACCAACCAGUAGCGUACAGUUUCAAAACGAGGUGACUUGAGGGGGCAACAAAUACUUUCUUCAAACACCUAAACAAUCAUUAUGUGGAAGGAAAUAUAAGGAAAAGCUUUCUGACAAAAUGACACAUCUGAAAAUGGAAUAAACUUGAUCUAUAAUUUACUUAUUUAUUGAAUAUAUUGUUUACUGUCUGACUCUUCUGCCUAGGUGUAAGCUCUACCAGAUCAGACACAGUAAACAGGUGCUCAGUAAAUAUGUUGAGUGGAUCAGUUUCCUCUGGAAGUAAUGGUCUUUCUGUCAUGGGAGGUAUUUAAGCAGAAGCUGAACACGUCUGCCACGAGGAUGUUAUCGAGAAGCUUCAUGCACAGGGCACAUGGUUAGGUUGCUUCAAGGUCCUUUUUCAAUGUUGAAAUGUUCUUAACCUGGUUUUACUUCUACUAAUGAAUCAAACAUAGGCAUUCCUCAGAAAAGGUCUACAUGUUCAUAGAACAUGUUCACAGAUCUCAGAGAAAAGGUCUACAUUUUUUCUCAUCUAAAGAUUCUAUCAAAGUUAUCAGGGCCAUACACUUAUAUUUUGCCUUUUCCCAACCUUAAUGUGUUAUCCGUCCACUGUACCUUCUAAUACUUGAGAAAAAAUAAAUUUUAAGUAAAAUUUACUAUAUAUAUUGUUUUCUUAAAGCCAACUCAUUUCAGUUUAUUUAUUUUUUUAUAGGAGAUAGAUGUUUCUUCUGGUUCCAUUUCUGUUUCUUAGGUCUGUUUAAUUUACAGCGUGAGCUCCAAGAGCUGAAGACUGUGGAGUCUUAAUAAAUGUCUAAGAUGAAUAAUUAAUAAUGUUAAAAAUUAUCAUCAUCUUCCUAUACUCCCAAGAGUAGUGGCAGAUGGUGAAUUCUGGCUGUGCCUAAUUCUAGCUGUGCCUGUGGCUGCCCAUAUAUCUUUCAAUAAGCCAGCAUUCAAAGAACAGAAUGAAACUCACAGGAAUCUCAUGAAUUCUACUGUUGUUAUUCCAAAGGUUCUUUUGGCACAGACCCUGAGCCAGCAGAUGAGCUGUAUACUUUCUCACAGCAAUUCAGUUUAAAAAAAAAAAAAAAUCACCAGACGACCUUACAGCAGUUUUUUUUUUUUUUUUUUUUUUUUAAAUAGGUCUGUCCUUGAAUACAAAAGAGUAAGAAAGACAGGACACCCUCCAACUUCCACUCCAAUGAAGAAUGUUUGGGCUGCUUCAGGACUGGGAGCAUCCCGGCCUGCAGUGACACUGCAUUCUUCUUGUUGCUGCUGAGUGGAGCUACUCAGCAACCUCAAUCUAUGCAACUAGGCCACUCGGUCCUGGACCUGCCAUGACACUCAAGGACUUUUAGGCAAUGCGAUCUGAUUUACUGUGUUCUUAAAGUGUUAUUAUAACUGAACCAUGUAACCUACAUUCUUGAACAUUCUGGAAGAAAAACUGGCCUACAAGGGAGUGCUUAUUAUUAUGCCCAGAUAAGGUAAUCAUAAAAGCCAGGAAGGAUGUUUCCUCCUGACUUCUGCUCUUAAAAGAAUCUCUUCUACAUGAUCAAGAAUUUAUCUCAAAACGUUCCCAUAUAGUAGGCUGAACAAGGAUGUCAGCGCAGCCCUAGCAGUAGAGAUUCCCAGCUAAAUUCGAUCUUCGUGCCAAGCAAGAAAGCUCUCUAGGAUUGUUUUUAAUGGUGUACUUCCCUGCUCCUCCACAGGAAACACAAAACUGGGAAAGUAUCUGUCAGGAAACAAAAUAGAAUCUGGAUAUUUUUAAAAGAAUCUAAAAGUAAUUCUUUUUUUGAAAGCCCCAACCAUGGCAAGGACAUAAAAGUAAUUAUUUUUCAGAACAGGACAACGUAAUUUUCAAGGAAAAAUAUAAUUUAGGCCUCAUUUUUUAUUAAAGCAGAAUUAUAAGAUAUAAUUACACUAACAAUAACAUCUGGUUUGAGGUAAUGCAUUAUAGUUUAACAAGCACAUGACUGUAUAUUAUCUCAUUUAAGAUUCAUAAUUUCCCAUAGGAGUUUUCAGCAGC